rnacentral:snRNA from 1 species
AUGCUCACGUCGCCGGCGGCAGAUAGACUGAGACUGGAAAGGUACUGAGGCGAUUCGCCUGGCUCCCACACAAGGAUGACAUGCAAAUUUGUGACACGGUCUAGAUUCUC